rnacentral:rRNA from 1 species
UGGGGAAUAUUGCACAAUGGGCGAAAGCCUGAUGCAGCGACGCCGCGUGAGGGAUGAAGGCCUUCGGGUUGUAAACCUCUUUCGGCAGGGAAGAAGCGCAAGUGACGGUACCUGCAGAAGUAGCGCCGGCUAACUACGUGCCAGCAGCCGCGGUAAUACGUAGGGCGCAAGCGUUGUCCGGAAUUAUUGGGCGUAAAGAGCUCGUAGGCGGUUUGUCGCGUCUGGUGUGAAAACUCGAGGCUCAACCUCGAGCUUGCAUCGGGUACGGGCAGACUAGAGUGCGGUAGGGGAGACUGGAAUUCCUGGUGUAGCGGUGGAAUGCGCAGAUAUCAGGAGGAACACCGAUGGCGAAGGCAGGUCUCUGGGCCGCAACUGACGCUGAGGAGCGAAAGCAUGGGGAGCGAACA